CAGCCGCCACGGGAAUACGUAGGGUGCAAGCGUUAAUCGGAAUUACUGGGCGUAAAGCGUGCGCAGGCGGUUAUAUAAGUCAGAUGUGAAAUCCCCGGGCUCAACCUGGGAACUGCAUUUGAGACUGUAUGGCUAGAGUGUGUCAGAGGGGGGUAGAAUUCCACGUGUAGCAGUGAAAUGCGUAGAUAUGUGGAGGAAUACCGAUGGCGAAGGCAGCCCCCUGGGAUAACACUGACGCUCAUGCACGAAAGCGUGGGGAGCAAACAGGAUUAGAGACCCCAGUAGUCCCUGUCUCUUAUAC
rnacentral:rRNA from 1 species